AUUGAACGCUGGCGGCAUGCUUUACACAUGCAAGUCGAACGGUAACAGGCCGCAAGGUGCUGACGAGUGGCGAACGGGUGAGUAAUGCAUCGGAACGUGCCCAGUCGUGGGGGAGUAACUACUCGAAGAGUAGCUAAUACCGCAUACGAUCUAUGGAUGAAAGCGGGGGACCGGUAAGGCCUCGCGCGAUUGGAGCGGCCGAUGUCAGAUUAGGUAGUUGGUGGGGUAAGGCUCACCAAGCCAACGAUCUGUAGCUGGUUUGAGAGGACGACCAGCCACACUGGGACUGAGACACGGCCCAGACUCCUACGGGAGGCAGCAGUGGGGAAUUUUGGACAAUGGGCGCAAGCCUGAUCCAGCAAUGCCGCGUGCAGGAAGAAGGCC
rnacentral:rRNA from 1 species